UGGGGAAUAUUGCACAAUGGGCGCAAGCCUGAUGCAGCCAUGCCGCGUGUGUGAAGAAGGCCUUCGGGUUGUAAAGCACUUUCAGCGAGGAGGAAGGGUAGUGUGUUAAUAGCACAUUGCAUUGACGUUACUCGCAGAAGAAGCACCGGCUAACUCCGUGCCAGCAGCCGCGGUAAUACGGAGGGUGCAAGCGUUAAUCGGAAUUACUGGGCGUAAAGCGCACGCAGGCGGUUUGUUAAGUCAGAUGUGAAAUCCCCGCGCUUAACGUGGGAACUGCAUUUGAAACUGGCAAGCUAGAGUCUUGUAGAGGGGGGUAGAAUUCCAGGUGUAGCGGUGAAAUGCGUAGAGAUCUGGAGGAAUACCGGUGGCGAAGGCGGCCCCCUGGACAAAGACUAACGCUCAGGUGCGAAAGCGUGGGGAGCAAACA
rnacentral:rRNA from 1 species